AUUGAACGCUGGCGGCAGGCCUAACACAUGCAAGUCGAGCGGAGCGGCGGACGCGUACGUCAUGCCUAGGAAUCUGCCUGGUACUGUUGGAUAACGUCCGGCAACGGGCACUAAUACCUCAUACUAUCACAUUAUCCUAGGUCGGUUUAGCUAGUGGGUGGGGUAAAGGCCUACCAGGGCGACGAUCCGUAACGGGUCUGAGAGGAUGAUCAGUCACACUGGAACUGAGACACGGCCCAGACUCCUACGGAGGGCAGAAGGGGGGAAUAUUGGACAAUGGGCGAAAGCCGGAUCAACCAAUGCCGCGUGGGUGAAGAAGGUCUUCGGAUGGUAAAGCACUUUAAGUGGGGAGGCGUUACCAGCAGAAAAAGCAACGGCUAACUACGUGCCAGCAGCCGCGGUAAUAC
rnacentral:rRNA from 1 species